rnacentral:rRNA from 1 species
GAUGAACGCUAGCUACAGGCUUAACACAUGCAAGUCGAACGAAGAUGCCGGAGUGCUUGCACUUUGGCAGACUGAGUGGCGGACGGGUGAGUAACGCGUGGGUAACCUGCCUUAUACAGGGGGAUAACAGUUGGAAACGACUGCUAAUACCGCAUAAGCGCACGGUAUCGCAUGAUACAGUGUGAAAAACUCCGGUGGUAUAAGAUGGACCCGCGUCUGAUUAGCUUGUUGGUGAGGUAACGGCCCACCAAGGCGACGAUCAGUAGCCGGCCUGAGAGGGUGAACGGCCACAUUGGGACUGAGACACGGCCCAAACUCCUACGGGAGGCAGCAGUGGGGAAUAUUGGCACAAUGGGGGGAAACCCUGGAUGCAGCGACGCCGCGUGAGUGAUGAAGUAUUUCGG